CAUUUUGCCCAGUGCUAUAAAUUUAGCUGAAAGUAGCUUAAGGACAUUGUACUACGUCAUUAUACUUUAGUACUACAUUAUGAACUCUGAAUAUACUGUAUAAGGUCGCAAUUGCCUUCCAGUCUCUUCUGAGAGGCACUAUGUUCUUAGAGGCUACUGAUUUUACCAUGGUAAUAUCAAAGUAAUGUAUCUCUUGUGUCUCUAUGUGGUCUGUUUUCAGAGAAUUUGUUCCCAACUGCAGCCCAUGACAUACAUGACUGUAUGGAAAUUAAUGCAAUUACCCAGCACCAGAGAAAGGUUUCAAAAAGGGGCUUUUACAGCAAAGCAACAGAAGAAUAUUUGGUUCUUCAAAGAACCUUUCAGUGAACAGGUCUUAAAGAAUUCUUAGUGUGAAGAACAUUUUAAUAAUCUAAAGAACACUUUUCCCACUAAAAAUAACCUUUUUGUCCAAUGUCAAGGUUCUGUGGAUAUUAAAGAUUCUACAUGAACCAUAAAUGACUUUUAUUUUUUAAAGAUUACAGGCAGCAUCACUCACAAUUCACAAGUUGUAUGUCAAAAUCCAUGUUGAAGAAGCUAAGCAGAUAUUGAGAACAUUUACAUCAAGCUCUAGCAACAUGGGACAAGUAGUUUCCCAUUGCCGGAUAAAAGCCUUUGACUCCAGUGUCUGAAUAUCAGUGGUGAUAUAUGUGGGUUUGGUAUGUAUGUGGGCGUGCUGCUUUCUGCCCGUCCAUGAAAAAGUGAAUGAUGAAGUUCGGCGGAGUGGAAACCCACACCACUGUUCCACAUCAGAGCAGCUGUUCUUACUUUAACCGAGGAAGAAAAUAUGCUUUUUACAAAAAUAUGGAAUUGGAGGACUGGAGGAUCUGCAUUGCCAUGUGACAGGAAAAGUAAUCUAAUGGAUUUGCUUCAGCAGUGUCAACUUCUCUUGAACUUAAAAAGUCCUGAAGUAUCAUGAUCCCCAUUGUGUUUCAGCACACACUGACCCAAACCUUCUCCAUUAGUGUAAUUACUGUCUGAUAGACAGGAAAACUUCAGCAUGUAUUAAAUUACAGCUCUUGUACAGGUGUGUGCUUUGAAAUACAAGUAGUGUUUUGCCAUUAAUGUUAUUGAAAUAUUUGUUGAAUCAAAAAAAA
ensembl:lncRNA